UGCGUAGGCGGAUUAAUAAGUCAGUGGAGAAAUCUUUCGGCUCAACCGAGAAACUGCCAUUGAUACUGUUAAUCUUGAGUUCGGUUGAGGUAGGCGGAAUGUGUAAUGUAGCGGUGAAAUGCUUAGAUAUUACACAGAACACCAAUUGCGUAGGCAGCUUACUAGACCGACACUGACGCUGAGGCACGAAAGCGUGGGGAGCGAACAGGAUUAGAUACCCUGGUAGUCC
rnacentral:rRNA from 1 species